GUGAGGAAUAUUGGUCAAUGGGCGGGAGCCUGAACCAGCCAAGUAGCGUGAAGGAUGACUGCCCUACGGGUUGUAAACUUCUUUUGUUUGGGAAUAAAAGACGCUACGUGUAGCGUUGUGCAUGUACCUUACGAAUAAGCAUCGGCUAAUUCCGUGCCAGCAGCCGCGGUAAUACGGAAGAUGCGAGCGUUAUCCGGAUUUAUUGGGUUUAAAGGGAGCGUAGGCGGGCUGUUAAGUCAGCGGUAAAAUGUCAAGGCCCAACCUUGUCCUGCCGUUGAAACUGGCGGUCUUGAAUGCACACAAGGGAGAUGGAAUUCGUCGUGUAGCGGUGAAAUGCUUAGAUAUGACGAAGAACUCCGAUUGCGAAGGCAGUCUCCUGGGGUGUAAUUGACGCUGAGGCUCGAAAGUGCGGGUAUCAAACAGGAUUAGAUACCCCGGUAGUCC
rnacentral:rRNA from 1 species